GACGAACCGAGCAAGCGUUAUUCGGAAUCACUGGGCUUAAAGAGUCCGUCGGCGGCGCGUUAGGUGGGGUGUGAAAUCCCUCGGCCCAACCGAGGAAUGGCGCUCCAAACCGGCGUGCUUGAGGAAGGUAGAGGUGAGCGGAACUGAUGGUGGAGCGGUGAAAUGCGUUGAUAUCAUCAGGAACACCGGAGGCGAAGGCGGCUCACUGGGCCUUUUCUGACGCUGAGGAGCGAAAGCGUGGGUAGCGAACAGG
rnacentral:rRNA from 1 species